rnacentral:rRNA from 1 species
CGUCAAGUCCUCAUGGCCCUUAUGCCCAGGGCUACACACGUGCUACAAUGGUCGGUACAGAGGGCUGCCAACCCGCGAGGGGGAGCAAAUCCCAAAAAGCCGACCUCAGUUCGGAUUGGAGUCUGCAAUUCGACUCCAUGAAGGCGGAAUCGCUAGUAAUCGCGGAUCAGCACGCCGCGGUGAAUACGUUCCCGGGCCUU